AACGAACGCUGGCGGCAUGCCUAACACAUGCAAGUCGAACGAGAUCUUCGGGUCUAGUGGCGCACGGGUGCGUAACGCGUGGGAAUCUGCCCUUUGGUUCGGAAUAACAGUUGGAAACGACUGCUAAUACCGGAUGAUGACGAAAGUCCAAAGAUUUAUCGCCAGAGGAUGAGCCCGCGUAGGAUUACCUAGUUGGUGUGGUAAAGGCGCACCAAGGCGACGACCCUUAGCUGGACUGAGAGGAUGAUCAGCCACACUGGGACUGAGACACGGCCCAGAUACCUACGGGAGGCAGCAGUGGGGAAUAGUGGACAAUGGGCGAAAGCCUGAUCCAGCAAUGCCGCGUGAGUGAUGAAGGCCUUAGGGUUGUAAAGCUCUUUUACCCGGGAUGAUAAUGACAGUACCGGGAGAAUAAGCUCCGGCUAACUCCGUGCCAGCAGCCGCAGUAA
rnacentral:rRNA from 1 species